rnacentral:rRNA from 1 species
UUUGAAGUGGCAUCACUUUGUCACGAAAGAAUUUCUGUUCGGGAGAAUCUCGCGGCCUAUCAGCUUGUUGGUGAGGUAAUGGCUCACCAAUGCUACUACGGGUAGCUGGUCUGAUAGGAUGAUCAGCCACACUGGUACUGACACACGGCCCAAACUCCUACGGGAUGCAGCAAUGGGGAAUCUUGUGCGAUGUACCAAAGUCUGACACAGCCCCUCCGCGUGCGGUAAGAAGGCCUUCGGGUUGGAGACCGCUUUCUUCAGGAACGAAAAUGACGGUACCUGCAGAAGAAGGGCGGCCAACUACGUGCCAGCAGCCGCGGUGACACGUAGGCUCCAAGCGUUGUCCGGAUUUAUUGGGCGUAAAGAGCUCGUACGCGGUUCAGCAAGUCAGGUGUGAAAACUCUGGGCUCAACCCAGAGCCUGCACCCGAAACUGCUGUGACUAUAGUUCGGUAGGGGAGUGGGGAAUUCCUAGUGUAGCGGUGAAAUGCGCAGAUAUUAGGAGGAACACCGAUGGCGAAGGCACCACUCUGGGCCGAUACUGACGCUGAUGAGCGAAAGCGUGCGUAGCAAACAGGAUUA